rnacentral:lncRNA from 1 species
AUAGACACCUCUUUGGGAGGCUGGGCACAGUGGCUCACGCCUAUAAUCCCAGCACUUUGGGAGGCUGAGGCAGGCAGAUCACCUGAGGUAGGGAGUUCAAGACCAGCCUGACCAACAUGGAGAAACCCCAUCUCUACUAAAACUACAAAAUUAGCUGGGCGUGGUGGCACAUGCCUGUAAUCCCAGCUACUUGGGAGGCUGAGGCGGGAGAAUUGCUUGAACCCGGGAGGCAGAGAUUGUG